UGUGCCAUUAAUGGUAAUACUGGGCCUC
rnacentral:piRNA from 1 species